GAGAAGAACGUAGCGAAAUGCGAUAAGUAAUGUGAAUUGCAGAAUUCAGUGAAUCAUCGAAUCUUUGAACGCACAUUGCGCCCGCUGGUAUUCCGGCGGGCAUGCCUGUUCGAGCGUCAUUUCAACCCUCAAGCCCCCGGGUUUGGUGUUGGGGAUCGGCUCUGCCCUUCUGGGCGGUGCCGCCCCCGAAAUACAUUGGCGGUCUCGCUGCAGCCUCCAUUGCGUAGUAGCUAACACCUCGCAACUGGAACGCGGCGCGGCCAUGCCGUAAAACCCCAACUUCUGAAUGUUGACCUCGGAUCAGGUAGGAAUACCCGCUGAACUUAAGCAUAUCAAUAAGCGGAGGA
rnacentral:misc_RNA from 1 species